rnacentral:rRNA from 1 species
UACGUAGGGUGCAAGCGUUAAUCGGAAUUACUGGGCGUAAAGCGUGCGCAGGCGGUUCGCUAAGACCGAUGUGAAAUCCCCGGGCUUAACCUGGGAACUGCAUUGGUGACUGGCGGGCUAGAGUAUGGCAGAGGGGGGUAGAAUUCCACGUGUAGCAGUGAAAUGCGUAGAGAUGUGGAGGAAUACCGAUGGCGAAGGCAGCCCCCUGGGCCAAUACUGACGCUCAUGCACGAAAGCGUGGGGAG